rnacentral:rRNA from 1 species
GAUGAACGCUGGCGGCGUGCCUAAUACAUGCAAGUCGAGCGAACAGAUGAGGAGCUUGCUCCUCUGACGUUAGCGGCGGACGGGUGAGUAACACGUGGAUAACCUACCUAUAAGACUGGGAUAACUUCGGGAAACCGGAGCUAAUACCGGAUAAUAUAUUGAACCGCAUGGUUCAAUAGUGAAAGACGGUUUUGCUGUCACUUAUAGAUGGAUCCGCGCCGCAUUAGCUAGUUGGUAAGGUAACGGCUUACCAAGGCAACGAUGCGUAGCCGACCUGAGAGGGUGGUCGGCCACACUGGAAGUGAGACACGGUCCAGACUCCUGCGGGAGGCAGCAGUAGGGAAUCUUACGCAAUGGGCGAAAGGCUGACGGAGCAACACCGCGUGAGUGAUGAAGGUGUUCGGAUCGUAAAACUCUGUUAUUAGGGGAGAACAAAUGUGUAAGUAACUAUGCACGUAUUGACGGUACCUGGUCAGAAAGCCACGGCUAACUACGUG